rnacentral:rRNA from 1 species
UCUAUGGAGAGUUUGAUCCUGGCUCAGGACGAACGCUGGCGGCGUGCUUUACACAUGCAAGUCGAACGGUGAAGUUCCUUCGGGAAUGGAUCAGUGGCGAACGGGUGAGUAACACGUGGGCAAUCUGCCCCUCACUGUGGGAUAACUCCGGGAAACCGGGGCUAAUACCGCAUAUGGAAACCUGGUGGCAUCACC